rnacentral:rRNA from 1 species
AUUGAACGCUGGCGGAAUGCUUUACACAUACAAGUCGAGCGGCAGCUCGGACUUCGGUCUGGUGGCGAGUGGCGAACGGGUGAGUAAUAUAUCGGAACGUGCCCAGUCGUGGGGGAUAACGUAGUGAAAAUUACGCUAAUACCGCAUACGAUCUAUGGAUGAAAGCGGGGGAUCGCAAGACCUCGCGCGAUUGGAGCGGCCGAUAUCAGAUUAGGUAGUUGGUGAGGUAAAGGCUCACCAAGCCGACGAUCUGUAGCUGGUCUGAGAGGACGACCAGCCACACUGGAACUGAGACACGGUCCAGACUCCUACGGGAGGCAGCAGUGGGGAAUUUUGGACAAUGGACGCAAGUCUGAUCCAGCCAUUCCGCGUGCAGGACGAAGGCCUUCGGGUUGUAAACUGCUUUUGUACAGAACGAAAAGGUCUCUAUUAAUACUAGGGGCUCAUGACGGUACUGUAAGAAUAAGCACCGGCUAACUACGUGCCAGCCGCCGCAGUAA